rnacentral:rRNA from 1 species
AUUGAACGCUGGCGGCAUGCCUUACACAUGCAAGUCGAACGGCAGCACGGACUUCGGUCUGGUGGCGAGUGGCGAACGGGUGAGUAAUGUAUCGGAACGUACCUUUCAGUGGGGGAUAACGUAGCGAAAGUUACGCUAAUACCGCAUAUUCUGUGAGCAGGAAAGCAGGGGAUCGCAAGACCUUGCGCUGAUUGAGCGGCCGAUAUCGGAUUAGCUAGUUGGUGAGGUAAAGGCUCACCAAGGCGACGUUCUGUAGCGGGUCUGAGAGGAUGGACCGCCACCGUGGAACUGAGACACGGUCCAGACUCCUACGGGAGGCAGCAGUGCGGAAUUGUGGACAAUGGGGGCAACCCUGAUCCAGCCGUGCCGCGUGAGUGAAGAAGGCCUUCGGGUUGUAGAGCUCUUUCGGCCGGGAAGAAAUCGCAUAGGUUAAUACCCUGUGUUGAUGACGGUACCGGAAUAAGAAGCGCCGGCUAACUACGUGCCAGCAGCCGCAGUAAGAC